rnacentral:rRNA from 1 species
AAACUCAAAAUGAAUUGACGGGGGCCCGCACAAGCGGUGGAGCAUGUGGUUUAAUUCGAUGCAACGCGAAGAACCUUACCUGGUCUUGACAUCCACAGAACUUUCCAGAGAUGGAUUGGUGCCUUCGGGAACUGUGAGACAGGUGCUGCAUGGCUGUCGUCAGCUCGUGUUGUGAAAUGUUGGGUUAAGUCCCGCAACGAGCGCAACCCUUAUCCUUUGUUGCCAGCGGUUAGGCCGGGAACUCAAAGGGGACUGCCAGUGAUAAACUGGAGGAAGGUGGGGAUGACGUCAAGUCAUCAUGGCCCUUACGACCAGGGCUACACACGCGCUACGAUGGCAUAUACAAAGAGAAGCGACCUCGCGAGAGCAAGCGGACCUCAUAAAGUAUGUCGUAGUCCGGAUUGGAGUCUGCAACUCGACUCCAUGAAGUCGGAAUCGCUAGUAAUCGUAGAUCAGAAUGCUACGGUGAAUACGUUCCCGGGCCUUGUACACACCGCCCGUCACACCAUGGGAGUGGGUUGCAAAAGAAGUAGGUAGCUUAACCUUCGGGAGGGCGCUUACCACUUUGUGAUUCAUGACUGGGGUGAAGUCGUAACAAGG